AACGAACGCUGGCGGCAUGCCUAACACAUGCAAGUCGAACGAGACCUUCGGGUCUAGUGGCGCACGGGUGCGUAACGCGUGGGAACCUGCCUUUAGGUUCGGAAUAACUCAGAGAAAUUUGAGCUAAUACCGGAUAAUGUCUUCGGACCAAAGAUUUAUCGCCUUUAGAUGGGCCCGCGUAAGAUUAGCUAGUUGGUGGGUAAAGGCCUACCAAGGCGACGAUCUUUAGCUGGUCUGAGAGGAUGAUCAGCCACACUGGGACUGAGACACGGCCCAGACUCCUACGGGAGGCAGCAGUGGGGAAUAUUGGACAAUGGGCGAAAGCCUGAUCCAGCAAUGCCGCGUGAGUGAUGAAGGCCUUAGGGUUGUAAAAGCUCUUUUUACCCGAGAUGAUAAUGACAGUAUCGGGAGAAUAAGCUCCGGCUAACUCCGUGCCAGCAGCCGCGGUAAU
rnacentral:rRNA from 1 species